rnacentral:rRNA from 1 species
GUAGGUGGCAAGCGUUGUCCGGAAUUAUUGGGCGUAAAGCGCGCGCAGGUGGUUCUUUAAGUCUGAUGUGAAAGCCCCCGGCUCAACCGGGGAGGGUCAUUGGAAACUGGGGAACUUGAGUGCAGGAGAGGAAAGUGGAAUUCCACGUGUAGCGGUGAAAUGCGUAGAUAUGUGGAGGAACACCAGUGGCGAAGGCGACUUUCUGGCCUGUAACUGACACUGAGGCGCGAAAGCGUGGGGAGCAAACAGGGAUUAGAUACCCUGGUAGUCCACGCCGUAAACGAUGAGUGCUAGGUGUUGGGGGGGUUUCCCGCCCCUCAGUGCUGCAGCUAACGCAUUAAGCACUCCGCCUGGGGAGUACGGUCGCAAGACUG